rnacentral:rRNA from 1 species
GAUGAGCGCUGGCGGCGUGCCUAAUACAUGCAAGUCGAGCGAACAGACGAGGAGCUUGCUCCUCUGAUGUUAGCGGCGGACGGGUGAGUAACACGUGGAUAACCUACCUAUAAGACUGGGAUAACUUCGGGAAACCGGAGCUAAUACCGGAUAACAUGUUGAACCGCAUGGUUCAACAGUGAAAGACGGUCUUGCUGUCACUUAUAGAUGGAUCCGCGCCGCAUUAGCUAGUUGGUAAGGUAACGGCUUACCAAGGCAACGAUGCGUAGCCGACCUGAGAGGGUGAUCGGCCACACUGGAACUGGACCAGGGUCCAGGCUCCUACGGGAGGCAGCAGUAGGGAAUCUUCCGCAAUGGGCGAAAACCUGACGGAACAGCGCCGCGUGAGUGAAAAAGGUCUUGGGUUCGUAAAACUCUGUUAUUGGGGAAAAACAAAUGUGUAAGUAACUAUGCACGUCUUGACGGUACCUAAUCAGAAAGCCACGGCUAACUACGUG